UGCGGAGGGAUCAUUACAGAGUUAUCCAACUCCCAAACCCAUGUGAACUUAUCUCUUUGUUGCCUCGGCGCAAGCUACCCGGGACCUCGCGCCCCGGGCGGCCCGCCGGCGGACAAACCAAAACUCUUGUUAUCUUAGUUGAUUAUCUGAGUGUCUUAUUUAAUAAGUCAAAACUUUCAACAACGGAUCUCUUGGUUCUGGCAUCGAUGAAGAACGCAGCGAAAUGCGAUAAGUAAUGUGAAUUGCAGAAUUCAGUGAAUCAUCGAAUCUUUGAACGCACAUUGCGCCCAUUAGUAUUCUAGUGGGCAUGCCUGUUCGAGCGUCAUUUCAACCCCUAAGCACAGCUUAUUGUUGGGAACCUACGGCUUCGUAGUUCCUCAAAGACAUUGGCGGAGUGGCAGUGGUCCUCUGAGCGUAGUAAUCUUUUAUCUCGCUUCUGUUAGGUGCUGCCCCCCCGGCCGUAAAACCCCCAAUUUUUUCUGGUUGACCUCGGAUCAGGUAGGAAUACCCGCUGAACUUAAGCAU
rnacentral:rRNA from 1 species